AUGGGCAUGGAUGCAAUCAACAACAACAACAACGUGAGCGCGGUGGCACCGCCGUCGUCCAUGUGGACCAGCACGAGCCGGCGCUGGCGCCCGUCCCUCGCGUCGGGCCUCCGUGCCGCCCUGGCCUGCACCAUCGUGGGCGUCGUGUCCGUCUACGCGCCGCCGCCCCUCAAGCGCCACCUCACCUUCCCUGCCUUCUCCUACGUCGUGACCGUCAUCAUCGUCACGGACGCCACCGUCGGCACCGCCCUGCGCGCCACGGCCAGCGCGCUCCACGCCACCGUCAUGGGCGCCGUCCCUUCCGUCCUGGCGCUGUGGCUGGCGCACCGCACGGGCGCCGCCGAGUCGGUGCUGGCCACGUCGGCCGUGGUGGCGCUGAGCACGUUCGCGGUGGCGCUGCCGGAGUCGCCGGGCCCCGUGGCGAAGCGGAUCGCGCUGGGGCAGAUCAUCAUUAUCUACGUAGCCAAGUUCAGGCGAGGGGACCGCACGAGCCACGAGCUGGUGCUGGAGCACCCCGCCAACGUGGUGCUGUGCACGGCGCUGGGGGUGGCGGCCGCCUUGCUGGCGGUGCUGCUGCCUUGCCCGCGGCUGGCCACCCGGGAGGUGGAGGACAAGAGCAGGGCCUACAUGGAGACCGCCGCGGAGAGGGUGAGGGUGCUCGUCGACGCGUUCCUCCUCACCGCCAACGACACCGCCUGCGUGGAUGAUGGCCAGGAAACAGCCGCGGCAUCUGGUAGACGGCGGCGAUGGUGCAUGGCAGCGUGCAUGUCACAGGCCAACCGUCUCGCGUCCGCAAGCGCCGCCCUCCUCCGCCCCAUCGCCGCCGUUAAGGGAGAUUUGCAGUGGGAGAGAGUGCCAGCAGUGCUCAGGCGGUGGAUGCCGCAGCAGGCGGUGGUAGACCACGGCCGCAUCGAGAUGCCCAUCAAGGGAAUGGAGAUUGCGCUCACCAGCACGGCCAUCGCCGGCACCAGCCCUAUGAUAUGCAGCAGCUGGUUGGAGCAUAUGAGAGACCAGAUACGCCUCUCCAUGCUCACUACACAUCGCCACCACCAUUGCAGCAGCACCGCCGCCACCAGCGUCGCCAUGACCAAGACGACCAUCAACAAACAAUCACCAUUAAUGUUGACUACCGAUACGAUGACGACGUUGUUGCCGGAGAGGCACGAGGAGCUGUCUCCUUUCCUCUUCCUCUUCUCCAUGCAUCUCCUCCGUCGUGGCACCCUGCAGCAGUUGGCCUCUUCUCAUCCGGAUCAGACCAAGACUACCACCUGCAGCAAGGUAACCCCGGCGGUCACAGCAGCCGACGAAUCAACCGACGACGACGACUUCUACCUGUCCGAAGAAGAAGAGGAAGAAGGAGCACAUGCCAGCAGCGGAGAAGAAGAAGACCAGCUGCAAGAACACGAGGCGCCAAAUAAGACUGGCGACAUGGAGAAGACGUCCAAGAAGCAGAAUAUGAAAAGCGUGUGGUUGAGGUGGGGGCUGGAAUGGGAGAGGGUGAUGACGGCGGCCAAGUGCGCCGUGUCGCUGGGCCUCGCCGUCCUUCUCGGCCUUCUCUUCAACAACGACCACGGCUUCUGGUCCGGCCUCAUCGUCGCCACCACCAUGACCGCCGGCCGUGACUCCACGUGGGCCGUGGCCAUCGCGCGUGCGCACGGCACCGCCAUCGGCUCCGUAUACGGCGUGCUGGGCUGCCUCCUCUCGCAGCAGCCGCACCUCAUGGAGCUCCGCUUCCUGGCGCUCCUCCCCUGGAUCGUCCUCGCCACCUUCCUCAAGCGCAGCCGUGCAUACGGCCCCGCGGGCGGUGUCGCCGCCGCGCUGUCAGGCAUCAUCAUCGUGGGACGGAGGUACGACGAGGCGCCCAUGGCCUUCACCAUCACCAGGCUCGUGGAGACCUUCAUUGGCCUGUCCUGCACAGUCGCGACGGACCUCGUGUUCCAGCGCAAGGCCAGGCCGACCGCCAGGGCCAGGGCGCAGCUCCACCGCUGCAUCGCCGCGCUGCGGGAGUGUGUGGUUGGACUGGCACCCACGUCGUCAGCGAAGCAGCAGCAGCAGCACAAGACGUUGCUGGAGCAGGUGGCGCUGCUGAAGAAGUACGCGGUGGAGGCGGGCAGCGAGCCCAACUUUCUGUGGCUGGCGCCGUUCCCAACCAGCUGCUACGACAAGGUUCAUGGCAGCCUGAGCAGGAUCGCGCAGCUGAUUGGGCUCUACCAGCACGCCCGAGCCACCCUCAUCGACACCGCCGGCGGCAGCCGGCAACUAGGCGCGGACAUGAAGCGCUUCCACAGCGCCCUCUCCGCGUCCCUGGAGACACUGCUUGAGGAGGAUGUCGACCUUGAAGCCGGCAAAGGAAUCUUCUGCGAGGACAUGGCGGUGGUCAAGUCCUUCCUCGGACAUGCGAGGGAGGCACUGUCACAGCAGCAGCAGGAGGAGGAAGAAGAGCAGUUGGCUGCUGUUUGCCUGGGCUCGAUUGGGUUUUGCAUGGGGGAGAUGAUGAAGGAGGCACAGCAGCUGGAGGCUCACAUGCUGAACCUCAGUCUCCAACCUUGUCGCUGA
rnacentral:rRNA from 1 species